GAUGAACGCUGGCGGCGUGCCUAAUACAUGCAAGUCGAGCGAACGGACGAGAAGCUUGCUUUUCUGAUGUUAGCGGCGAACGGGUGAGUAACACGUGGAUAACCUACCUCUAAGACUGGGAUAACUUCGGGAAACCGGAGCUAAUACCGGAUAAUAUUUUGAACCGCAUGGUUCCAACGUGAAAGACGGUCUUGCUGUCACUUAGAGCUGGACCCGUGCUGCAUUAGCUAGUUGGUAAGGUCACGGCUUACACAGGCAACGAUGCAUAGCCGACCUGGGAGGGGGGUCGGCCGCACGGGAGCUUGAACGCGGACCAUACGCCUACGAGAGGCAGCAGUGUGGAAUCGUAGGCAGUAGUCGGAAGCCUUGCGGAGCGACGGCGAGUGUGUUAUGGAGGCCUUCGGAUCGUGAAGCUCUGUUACGAGGUGUGAACAUAUUUGUGAGGAACAGAACACAACGUGACGGUACCUGAACAGAAAGCCACGGCUAACUACGUG
rnacentral:rRNA from 1 species